UCAGAUUGAACGCUGGCGGCAGGCCUAACACAUGCAAGUCGAACGGUAACAGRAAGCAGCUUGCUGCUUUGCUGACGAGUGGCGGACGGGUGAGUAAUGUCUGGGAAACUGCCUGAUGGAGGGGGAUAACUACUGGAAACGGUAGCUAAUACCGCAUAACGUCGCAAGACCAAAGAGGGGGACCUUCGGGCCUCUUGCCAUCGGAUGUGCCCAGAUGGGAUUAGSUAGUAGGUGGGGUAAAGGCUCACCUAGGCGACGAUCCCUAGCUGGUCUGAGAGGAUGACCAGCCACACUGGAACUGAGACACGGUCCAGACUCCUACGGGAGGCAGCAGUGGGGAAUAUUGCACAAUGGGCGCAAGCCUGAUGCAGCCAUGCCGCGUGUAUGAAGAAGGCCUUCGGGUUGUAAAGUACUUUCAGCGGGGAGGAAGGGAGUAAAGUUAAUACCU
rnacentral:rRNA from 1 species